rnacentral:tRNA from 2 species
GCAGGUGUGGCGAAAUUGGCAGACGCACUAGACUUAGGAUCUAGCGGAGCAAUCCAUGGGGGUUCAAGUCCCUUCACCUGCACCA